ACAGGUCGACGACGCGCUAGUUACGGUAGAGGCCGUUCUAGUUCUAUUUACACCGAGACGUGCAAGAUUGUUCUUGACACAGUUCGAGACGUGGAUUCUAGUUGUUGACACCACUACAGGUUCCAGUGCGAGCGUUGUGGCCGAGGAUCGAGGCAAGAGCCAGCAGCCUAGCUAGUGGACACCCGAGUACUAGUGGUAUACCAUUUUGGGUUCGUGUAUCAUCUAUUUUGAUGUACAGAGACAUAUAAAUGAAUGUAUUGAAGGACAUGUAAUAACUAAAUGUUUCAGUUAUGUAAAGUUUUAAAUUACA